rnacentral:tRNA from 1 species
UUUUUUAUUCUUUUAUUAUAA